AGGCCCGGUGUUUUGACGUCGGCGGUGCCCGCGUUCCGCGCCGAGUAACGGUCUUCGGAAUUCAGAGCCUUCGCCUUAGGGAAGGUGGGACGGUCGCCAGUUUCUCCAGCACUUUCUUCGUCCAGGGACGUCAACCUCCCUUGCAUGCUGUCCUCAGGGACUGACAGCGGGGCCUGCUCAGAAGUUCUCGUCGGGACUCUCUACAGGCCUUUGUGAUUAAGUGCUAGGGGUGAGGAGAGACGUGGCUUAUUUAUGUGUUUUUCAGUUUGUUAUGAUUUUUUUUUUUUUAAUUUUACUUCUCCCUGCCCUAGAAUUGAGCUCCUUGAGAGUAAAAACCCGCCUGGGUCGCCAUCACCCUAGGCUUGGUGCAGGGCCUGCCAGGCGCUCGAAUUUGUUGAAGAGGUGGGUGUUCAGUAUCGAAAGAGCCGCGGAUUGUACAUUAGAAAGCCUGGCUUUGCGCCGCGUCCUUGCCACUUGCUGACCAGGCCCCUCCACGUGGUCCCCGCCGGGGCAGCAGCUCUCCUCACCCGUCCAAAGGCACGGGGAGGCGCGUGGCGGCCCCGCCAGAGCUGAGCCCCCUGGGAUGUGAGGCCGUCUCGCUCUGAGCUUCAGAGCAGGGUUGCAGGAGACACCUCAGAAGGUCGUUUUGAGGACGGGAGGAGAUGAACUGCUCAAAGCCUGCUUAACUAGAUAAAUGGUAUCGAUUAACUUUUCUUUGACUCCCUUUCCACACCUAUAAAAUGAAGAUGACGGGAAACUUGUCAUACUUUUUUUGUGGUGGGUGGGAAAGGUCUUUAUGAACUGUGAAGUCCUAUGCAAACGUGAGAUGUUUCCUUUCGCAAUCUGAUUAGCGAAGCAAAAACACGCGAGUCAAAAACAUACACAGAAAGCAAAAAAAAAAAAUUCACAAAAUGGUUUAUCAACUGCAGAAUAUUCAGGAUGGUGGAACUGAAUGGUAACUACUGACAACAUAGCUCAGAAAGGACGUGCUAAAACAUGCUGGAUGAAGCUAACUUUGAUCCAGGUCUUAAAUGGAAUGGACUAUAGUUUAUAGCUUCAACCUAAUCAUUAACUUAUGAAAUCAGAGAAUUAAGGCCACUUAAGCCACUGUGCUCAGACUGUCAAGAUAUUUAGUUUCUCAAAGCAGAAAGAGGAAAUUAAAUACUCUUGUCAAUUCAACAUAUGGGUUGGAUGAUUAGCAGGAUCCGUGGAUUGUUGUUUAUCCAGUAUGUGAAGAAACGGAUAUCCUCUGUUUUCUCGUUAUUACACAAACUUCUAUCCUUAAUAUGUGACCUUUCAAGGUUGAACUCUAGGUAAAAUUAUGAAGUGCACAAUUACGUCUUGUUUCUUCUUCCCUUUGCACGUCGUUUUACAAGAGAAUCUAAUUAUUAUUAAAGUACAAAUGACUGACAAGAUUGUAGCCACUCCUGGGAGAUUUUGCAUUUUUACGGUUAUUAAAAGCCAUAACUCAAAGCA
ensembl:lncRNA TMEM263-DT TMEM263 divergent transcript